rnacentral:misc_RNA from 1 species
UCCGGUUUAACACCGGCAGUCUCACUAGAGUCCUCGCCAUUACGCGUUUGCAACUAGUGAUAGGGGUUUCGCUCGUUAAGGGACUUAACCCGACACUUCACAGCACGAGCUGACGACAGCCAUGCAGCACCUGUGUAUGUUCCACUACAAGAGUGUCACUCCGCUUUCACGGAGCUAAUCCAUACAUGUCAAACCUAGGAUAAGGUUCUUCGCGUUGCUUCGAAUUAAGCCACAUGCUCCACCGCUUGUGUGAGCCCCCGUCAAUUCCUUUGAGUUUUAGCCUUGCGACCGUACUCCCCAGGCGGUGCACUCAACGUUUUUACUUCGACCGAGAAUGGUGUCAGAACCUCCUCGAUCUAGUGCACAUCGUUUACGGCGUGGACUAC